UUAUGCAUUCAAGUUGAACAACUUCAUCGGCAGCCACACAGCCCCAUCUAGAGUGGGGGAGGUUCAGAAAUCUACAGAGGUGAUUGAGACGCACUACUAAGCAGGGGGCCCACGCACUGGGUUGCUAAUUACUUCUCUAUAGAGAAAUGGCAUUUUCCAAACGACAUCAUCCAUCUUCCUUAUGCCACCCAUGUUGCACGCAAUUGGCAAUGAGACCAGGCUAAUUUGAAAGAUGUGGAUGUGAGGAUUCUGCAGCUGAAGUUGUUCCACAUUUAAAGAGGGAGUGGGGAAAAACUGCAGAAAACAAUUCAUAACUUUUUU
rnacentral:lncRNA from 1 species